ACCCGCACAAGCGGUGGAUGAUGUGGUUUAAUUCGAUGCAACGCGAAAAACCUUACCCACCUUUGACAUGGCAGGAAUCCCGAAGAGAUUUGGGAGUGCUCGAAAGAGAACCUGCACACAGGUGCUGCAUGGCUGUCGUCAGCUCGUGUCGUGAGAUGUUGGGUUAAGUCCCGCAACGAGCGCAACCCUUGCCAUUAGUUGCUACGAAAGGGCACUCUAAUGGGACUGCCGGUGACAAACCGGAGGAAGGUGGGGAUGACGUCAAGUCCUCAUGGCCCUUAUAGGUGGGGCUACACACGUCAUACAAUGGCCGGUACAGAGGGUAGCCAACCCGCGAGGGGGAGCCAAUCCCACAAAGCCGGUCGUAGUCCGGAUCGCAGUCUGCAACUCGACUGCGUGAAGUCGGAAUCGCUAGUAAUCGCGGAUCAGCAUGUCGCGGUGAAUACGUUCCCGGGUCUU
rnacentral:rRNA from 1 species